rnacentral:pre_miRNA from 1 species
AAAAAGGCAAACCCUAAAUUUUCAUACCAAUGUUUAACUGUUCGUCUUAUAUGAAUUUUUUUUAUAAUUAGUAUUUCAUUACGCGUGACUUAUCUUUUUAAUUUUUUUUCAUAUUUUUUUAAAUAAGACGGAUGAUCAAAUGUUGGACACGGAAACCAGAGUUUGUCUUCUU